UACGGAGGAUGCAAGCGUUAUCCGGAAUUAUUGGGCGUAAAGCGUCCGCAGGUGGUGUUUCAAGUCUGCUGUCAAAGACCGAAGCUUAACUUCGGGUAGGCGGUGGAAACUGAAAGACUAGAGUACGGUAGGGGUAGAGGGAAUUUCCAGUGUAGCGGUGAAAUGCGUAGAGAUUGGAAAGAACACCAGUGGCGAAGGCGCUCUACUGGACCGUAACUGACACUCAGGGACGAAAGCUAGGGUAGCGAAAGGG
rnacentral:rRNA from 1 species